rnacentral:tRNA from 1 species
UGAGUAGCUGAGUAGAUAACGCGAUGGUGGUUGAAGCGAAAGGUACUAGGUUCGAGUCUCAGAGUGA